UACAAAUCAGGAAACAGGACUGCACCUGUGCCCACUAAACUCUGGUUUCCACAAAUGCAAAAGGUGGUUAUUUUGUUCACAGCUCUAUCACUAAUGUCUGACACAUAAAAAGUGCUCAUUAUAAUGAACGAGCACAGCUAAUAAGUGAUAGAGUCAUGAUUUGAACUCAGAACAGCC